GUGAAAGGUCAAGAUCAAGUCAGAGGGUCCAGGGCACUGCAGCAGAGGCGAUGAGGAGGUGACAUGAGGACAAAUCUUGACCUGGACCAGAGUAUCCACCUCAGAGGGUCAUUGAAAGAAUUACGGAGUGAGAAGGUGCAAACUGCUCAGCACGGAGCGGGGCCUACGUGGUGUCAGUAUUGUUGUUCAACUGGACACAGCUCGCAUGCAUUUCUCCCUUCUUUACGCGCCUCCCCCCAUUCAGCCCAUUUCAGGCUUCUUAUCGGCUGAUAUGUUCCAUGCAGAUGUUUCCAGUUCAAGGAAGACAGUGCGAAUUCCCUACACACGCCCACACCCUAGGCUUUGCGCAGUCUCCCUGGCAGAUUCUGAGAGUCAUCGUGGGGAACUCCCAUCUCGUUCUGUGAAGCAGCCUGACAAUCAGCCAGGCGGGUGAUGCUCCAGAACAAACCAGGAAGCCAGUGGGCCUGGGGGCGACGCUGCCCUCUGCAGAUGUCGGACUGAGAGGCACCCGUGGGGAAGGGCAGUGCUGGGCGUCCCCACGCUUGUCUGCAGAGUGCCCCUAGGCUGCUGCCGGGUCAGGAACCAGCUCCCUUUCCAGCCUUCCUGCUCCACUGGACCCGGGAGGGUCCCUCAGAAGCUCCAUGGGGUCGGACGUGGGAUGCUCAUUGGUCCUGAUGGCAAGUCCUCCUGACUGAGAGGAAAGACGAUGAGGCGACAGGCCUUCCCAAGGUUGGCCAUAAAUCAGAGCCAACGGGGGACAUGUGUCACGGAUGCCAGCCCUGGGGUCUCGGGUGCCCCACUGGACCACAGGAGACCAGCUCUCGCUCAGCUCGUCUGCUGGCAGGGACGACCAGCCUGUGGCCGUGCUUUGCCCCCGAGGGGUUGUCCUGCUGUUUAAUGAGGUUUAAGGGAGAGGCGGCCCAGCGUCUGUCUCAUCAGAGGGCAUGGAGUCUUGAGACACAGGAGCUCCUCUGGCCUUUAGGGCUCUCAGCAUCCACCCCAUUCACGCGCAGGAACAGCCGUGACUUAGGGCGCAUCUGGGGGCACAGGCGGUUUCGGGGGAAGGAAGGCCCUCUGAGUACCCUCAGGCUUCACGCUGGGCUCCUCCUGCAGGAGAGACGGAGCUGGGCGGCGCCUCCGGACAUUCUGUCGGGCAGUCCCUGGUUCGCUGUAAACCUCCGAGUUCUCAAGAUAACAGCCCAGGGAUCGGCCUGAGGAAUAACCUGCUCACAGGAAGGACAGCAGGCGGCCAAACUGGUGAAUUCCAACCCGGGGAUCUUCGUCCUGGUGCCAUGGCGCCUGGAAGUCAUGGGGAUUUUUACAGAAAACCAUGAAGCAUAUUUGCGAUCCCUCUGGCCGUGGAGUCCCAGAGAUCCCUGACCCCAACCUGCCGUUCGACUUUGAACUUGUCACUUCCCGUCUCUGUGCCUCUGUUUCCUCACCUGUAAAAGGGACGGAUACACUGGUGUGAGGACAAAGCGACAAAACCCGGUAAAUCUAACCUCAUCCAGUGCCUGCACACUGCAGAUACUUGGUCAGUGGUUGCCAAGUACCAAAAACUUAAGAAAAAUGUUCCAGAGGGGAAGCUAAAUUGAGAAGGGCCUUCCCACUGAAAUUAUUGUUAUUAUUAUUUUAAGUUGGGGAAAGACUGCCGCUGCCUGAUGAUAGUGGCUGAGCAUGCUGCCCAGAGCUCAGGAGCAGCCCAGGAGCCGUGGUGCAGGCCAGGCUCUGAACCUCUCCCGCGUGGGACACCGGACCGAGCACACAACCAGAGGACACACCGGGCUCACGAAAUCACGGGCUCAAAGCCCAGCUCCGUCUCUCAUCGCCAGGUGACCCGUCAGGUGGCUCCACCUCCCGGUCUGCACACCAGCGCUGCUGCAGGACGCGCCCACAGUGGUGCAGGUGGCGGGUCGGCGUGACUGUGCACAGAACACAGCGGGCUGAGCGAACGCAAAAUGAGAGCUCAGUCAGGAAGAAAACCAGGGUGCCCACGACAUGUGCACGAUUUCAGCCCCACUAAACACCCUCCAACUCGGGGCAAUUUAGAAAGCAACACUGCUGUAGGGGUGACCUCGAAACCGCUCAAAAUUGUUUAAAACUCAUCCACACUUACUGCUUUGGUCUUUGUGGGUAACAAACCAUUUGUCGACAGCCUCCUGACCGACACGGGCGGGAAGCCUCAGUGCGGGCGGGGAUAGACUUCUGCCCCGGCUGCUUUGGUUUCCCAUGGCCACUGUAAGAAAUGACCCUGGACUAAGUGGCUUAGAGAAUACAAAUUUAUCACCUUAUGGUUCUGGCGCUCAGAAGACCGAAAUGGGUCUCAACAGGUGAAAACCAAGGUGUCACCAGUCCGAGUCCUUCUGGAGGCUCCAGGAGAUGGUCACUCCUUACCUUUUCCAGCUUUAAAAGGCUGCCCCCCUCCUGGCCUCGUGGCUGCUUCUGUCCUCGAAGCCGGCUGAGUCCUUCUCUCCACGUGAUCUCUCUGGUUCUGACCACUCUCCCUCCCUCUGCCCCAUGUAGGUCCCUUGCGGUGUACUGGGCCCACCUGUGGUGCAGGGUCAUCUCCCUGGUUUAGGAUCAGGUGAUCAGCAACCUUAAUUCCAUUUGCAACUUUAUGUGCUUUUGCCCCCUGUCAUGCAUGUAACAUAACAUAUUCCCAGGGCCCAGGAAUUUGCAGUGGACAUCUUGGGACUGGGGCUUUGUCUUGCCUACCACAUGGGAAAACCUUGAAUCUGCUCAAAGUUAUUUAAAAUUCAUUCACACAUAUGGUUGCUUUAAUCUUUAUCAGUAACAAAUACUAUGAAUAACUUCACAACAGAUAUUGAUCAGAAAUGCCGGGCUUUUCUCCAGGCUGCAUGAGAUGUGAAAAAAUAUGGUGGUUUUCUCAUAAAAUUAAAUUUUCUCCAUUGAAGAACUGUUCUUUUGGUAUUAAAGUGGUGGUAACAGACAAC
rnacentral:lncRNA from 1 species